rnacentral:rRNA from 1 species
AUUGAACGCUGGCGGCAGGCUUAACACAUGCAAGUCGAGCGGAGAUGAGGUGCUUGCACCUUAUCUUAGCGGCGGACGAGUGAGUAAUGCUUAGGAAUCUGCCUAUUAGUGGGGGACAACAUUCCGAAAGGAAUGCUAAUACCGCAUACGUCCUACGGGAGAAAGCAGGGGAUCUUCGGACCUCGCGCUAAUAGAUGAGCCUAAGUCGGAUUAGCUAGUUGGUGGGGUAAAGGCCUACCAAGGCGACGAUCUGUAGCGGGUCUGAGAGGAUGAUCCGCCACACUGGGACUGAGACACGGCCCAGACUCCUACGGGAGGCAGCAGUGGGGAAUAUUGGACAAUGGGGGGAACCCUGAUCCAGCCAUGCCGCGUGUGUGAAGAAGGCCUUACGGUUGUAAAGCACUUUAAGCGAGGAGGAGGCUACUGAGACUAAUACUCUUGGAUAGUGGACGUUACUCGCAGAAUAAGCACCGGCUAACUCUGUGCCAGCCGCCGCCGUAAAAC